rnacentral:sRNA from 1 species
AAUCAGUAGUGGGAGGAGGAAGGAAAUGGGAACUUGAAGAACAGGGUCAUGGCCCGGCCAGCAAAGGGGUCGGUGGUGUAAAGCGGGAAGUGAGAGGAAGCUAUGAGAUGUAUGGAGGGGCCAAAAAUCCCCAAGGAUGUGCCAGAAGGCCAGAGCCACCUCUUCUUGCUGCAAAGCUGAGAUCUCCUUUCUCACUCUCAUCUCCAGGAGUGCUGGAGUUCAAAGUGGAUAUCAUGGAAAUAAAAGAAAUCCGCCCAGGGAAGAACUCCAAAGAUUUCGAGCGAGCAAAAGCAGUUCGCCAGAAAGAAGACUGCUGCUUCACCAUCCUGUAUGGCACUCAGUUUGUCCUCAGCACGCUCAGCUUGGCAGCUGACUCUAAAGAAGAUGCAGUUAAUUGGCUCUCUGGCUUGAAAAUCUUACACCAAGAAGCGAUGAAUGCGUCCACACCCACCAUUAUCGAGAGUUGGCUGAGAAAGCAGAUAUAUUCUGUGGAUCAAACCAGAAGAAACAGCAUCAGUCUCCGAGAGUUGAAGACCAUCUUGCCCCUGAUCAACUUUAAAGUGAGCAGUGCCAAG